rnacentral:rRNA from 1 species
UACGUAGGGGGCGAGCGUUGUCCGGAUUUAUUGGGCGUAAAGAGCGUGUAGGCGGCCCGGUAAGUCCGCUGUGAAAGUCGGGGGCUCAACCCUCGAAUGCCGGUGGAUACUGUCGGGCUAGAGUGCGGAAGAGGCGAGUGGAAUUCCUGGUGUAGCGGUGAAAUGCGUAGAUAUCGAGAGGAACACCUGCGGCGAAGGCGGGUAGCUGGGCCGACACUGACGCUGAGGCGCGAAAGCCAGGGGAGCGAACGGG